rnacentral:misc_RNA from 1 species
GAUGAAGAACGUAGCGAAACGCGAAAGGUAAUGCGAAUUGCAGAAUUCAGUGAAUCAUCGAAUCUUUGAACGCACAUUGCGCCCUUUGGUAUUCCAAAGGGCAUGCCUGUUCGAGCGUCAUUUGUACCCUCAAGCUUUGCUUGGUGUUGGGCGUCUUGUCUCUAGCUUUGCUGGAGACUCGCCUUAAAGUAAUUGGCAGCCGGCCUACUGGUUUCGGAGCGCAGCACAAGUCGCACUCUCUAUCAGCAAAGGUCUAGCAUCCAUUAAGCCUUUUUUUCAACUUUUGACCUCGGAUCAGGUAGGGAUACCCGCUGAACUUAAGCAUAUCAAUAAGCGGAGGA